rnacentral:lncRNA from 1 species
GUGUAAUCAUUAACCAAGUUUCAGAAGUGACCUGACAGCUGUUUCCUGUGUUUUGGAAAGGAUGAUGGGCAGAGGAAGAAGGCUGCCACAGUGUUCCACCCAUCCUUACUGACAGACACGUACUGGGAGGUGCAAAGCCCACAGCUGGUACUGCAGCUCAGGUAGAAAGGAAGGAAGGCAGUUUAAUUGCAGAAAACAGAGGAUGGGAAAACUAAGCCUUCACAGCCAUAUUUGGCAUGAGCUCUGGAAUAAGAUUUGCCAUUAGAGGAGAAAGUAGGAAGUGAGCCCUCGUGAGGAGCACCUGAGUGACAUCAGGAUACUCUAACUUGGCCAAGAGGAGAUGAGGAGAACCUGGAGCUUCUGCCAUGACAGAAUGGGACAGAACAGAUAGUUUGAGAAUCAUCCUACCUAUUGCCUGCCUGAACCAAGAACCAGAUCCUAGAGAAGGACUGUGCCAUACUAGCUGGUUGCAGAUCUCAUGGGAUCCUAAUAUUGAGAGAGAUCUAACAGGAAAAGGGCCCUUGCUAAGAGAGUGAGACUGUUACCUGUUAGUGCAGUCAAGAGCCCGUGGGUCUGACAGCUGACAUCAACAGAAAUACUCCUUUCAGGCUGAGCAG